UACGAAGGACCCGAGCGUUAUCCGGAUUUAUUGGGUUUAAAGGGUGCGUAGGCGGAUUUACAAGUCAGUGGUGAAAUCUCCCAGCUUAACUGGGAAACUGCCAUUGAAACUGUUUAUCUUGAGUACAUUUGAGGCGGGCGGAAUGUGUCAUGUAGAGGUGAAAUUCGUUAGAUAUGACACAGAACACCAAUUGCGAAGGCAGCUCGCUAAAACUGUAACUGACGCUGAGGCACGAAAGCGUGGGGGGAGCAAACGG
rnacentral:rRNA from 1 species